GGUGUGUUGGCUCAGUCAGUAGAGCAUCCGCCUCACAACCAGGAGGUCGUGGGUCCGAACCCCGUCAUACCG
rnacentral:tRNA from 1 species